GGUCGUAUGGAGUAGUGGUCAACUUAGGAGAUUUUGAUUAAUGAUCAACGAUUCGCUUGUUCUGUCAAAUUUUCUCUUGCCCCGGGUUCGAAUCCCGGUAUGACCU
rnacentral:tRNA from 1 species